AUUGAACGCUGGCGGCAUGCUUUACACAUGCAAGUCGAACGGUAACAGGCCGCAAGGUGCUGACGAGUGGCGAACGGGUGAGUAAUGCAUCGGAACGUGCCCAGUCGUGGGGGAUAACGCAGCGAAAGCUGUGCUAAUACCGCAUACGAUCUAUGGAUGAAAGCGGGGGACCGUAAGGCCUCGCGCAAUUGGAGCGGCCGAUGUCAGAUUAGGUAGUUGGUGGGGUAAAGGCCUACCAAGCCGACGAUCUGUAGCUGGUCUGAGAGGACGACCAGCCACACUGGGACUGAGACACGGCCCAGACUCCUACGGGAGGCAGCAGUGGGGAAUUUUGGACAAUGGGCGCAAGCCUGAUCCAGCAAUGCCGCGUGCAGGAAGAAGGCCUUCGGGUUGUAAACUGCUUUUGUACGGAACGAAACGGUCUGGGUUAAUACCCUGGGCUAAUGACGGUACCGUAAGAAUAAGCACCGGCUAACUACGUGCCAGCAGCCGCGGUAA
rnacentral:rRNA from 1 species